rnacentral:rRNA from 1 species
GCCAAAUGCCUCUAUAAUAGAGGACAAUCCUACGGAAAACCUUGAAUUUAAGAAAAAUGUUCUUAAAUGUAUUGAUUGGGAUAAUUUCUUUAUAUCUCAUUUUACUAUAAUCAUUUAAAGGAAAAAGAGACAUUAAUAGAAUAUUCUAUAGAUAUAAUAUGCCUAACUUCCUGAAGAAAAUCAUUUUAUUAAGGAAAGGAAAGGAAAUCAACCGAGACUCCGAAAGUAAUGGCGAGUGAAAUCGGAUAAGCCUUAAAAACUUAAAAAAAUUGAAUAUUUAUCGUAUUUAGAUCAUUUUAUCAGUGCCUAGCCUACCAUUAUUUAAGCGUUACUCUCUAGAGAAGUUUAAGAUGUCAUCCUUUUAAUUCAAUUAAGGGGUUUGCUAGUAGCCAAUCAAAGGUAGUUAUCGUAAAAAAUUAUAAUGAUUAGUUCUCUUAAUUUAAUAUUUUUCUUCCGUCCUCAAAGUUUUGAGCCUAAAAUGAAUUAGAGUUGAGGAAAGAUCAGACAAAUUUUAAGGAUUAAUUAUAACAGACUGGAAAGGUAUUAGAUUUAAAUAAGGAAAAAGAACCAAAGAAGGAGAAUAAGUCCUGUAAAUUUCUUAAGAAAUAAAAAAAUAAAAAAAAGUACGAUGAGAGCAAACUUGUUGGAAUAUAGGGGAACCAUCCUCUAAGGCUAAGUAUUAUAAAUUUAGCGAUAGCGUAAAGUACUGUAAAGGAAAAGUAUUAGAAGUUGUUAACUUCUAGAAAGAAUUAGUAGCUCUAUAAGCAGUCGGAAUUUUUGAAAUAAGAAUGACGGCGUACCUUUUGCAUAAUGGGUCAGCAAGUUAAUGGGAGUAGCAAGGUUAAAAGCCCUAGCGAAAGCGACUGGAUUAUUUAUAGUAAAUAGACUUUAUAUAUUAAUAUUAUAUUCUAGAUAACUCCUCCUAUCCCUGCCUACCGGUAAGGGAGGAAAAAUCUUUCUAUUUUAAUUUAUAUAUAAAAUAUCUUAUCUUCCUAUCGAAAAAUUCGGUAUUAAGGUUCUGAAUUAUUAAAUAUAAAUUUUUUAAAUCAGAAUAUAAUCUAUUAAAUAUAAAUAGUGUUGGAUAAGUUACUUCUAUUAGACCCGAAGCCAGGUGAUCUUUCCAUGGCCAGAUUUAUAACGGAUCGUACGGUUGAAUGUUGCAAAAUUCUCCGAAGAGCUGUGGAAAGUUGUGAAAUGCAAACCUAACCUGGUGAUAGCUGGUAUUCUACGAAACAUAUUUAAGUAUGACGUCUACGUAAAAUUUAUGAAGGUACAGUACGGCAGUUCCAAAAUAAGCAAUAUAAAUAUUUAUUGUGACUUAAGUUUGAGGGGGCCUAGUAAUCUUACCAAUGGAAGUGAAACUCGAAAUAACAUAAAUUGAUGGUAGACUUUCAGACUGCUCAUGCGAAGUUGGGUAGUCAAGACGAAAACAGUCGAGAGCACGUAUUUAAGGUCCCGAAUGAUUAUUAAGUGAAAUUAAGGAUGUAGCAAAUUGAAUGCAGCUGUAAAGUGAGCCUGGUAGUCGCUACUUUUAAUGAACGUUUAGUAACAACGCAUCAGCCCUAAACUUAAAUUUCUUAGGAUUAAUAUCUUAAGCAAUAUAAAAAAGGCAAGAUUGUGGCACCGAAAAUUUAACGGGUCUAAGUAAUCAACCGAUAUCGUGCUGCUUUAUUUCAAUAUAUAAAACUGAGCCUGGCUAGCCUCCCAUCAGGUCGGCUAGCCAGAGCCAGUCUCCCUGUACCGGUUCCUUAGUCAUGAGGUCUUAACAACUCAUAGAAAUUUAGAUAUUUAUUGUAAUAAAGCUAGGUAGUAGAACAUUCAGAACGAGUGAAAAUCAGUGUUUCAUUGUUUUGACGUAACUGAAGAGAGAAUGCUGACAUGAGUAACGAAAAAAGAAGUUAUAAUACUUCUCGUCGAAUGCGAAAGGGUUUCUUGGCAAUGUUAAACAACCUUGAGUAAUUGCGGCCUCUAAGGAAAAAAACCAAUGUUUUUUCUGAUGAGUGUUAAACAGAAAGUCCUUACAAAAAAAAAUUAUAAAAUAAGGCUUCAAAAUCUAUGUUUAUUAUUUAUAAUAAAGGGCCUAGAAAAAAAUGUUUAGACUACCGUACCCUAAACCGUCACUGGUUCGUAGGUUGAGAAUACUAAGGCGUAGAGCGAAGACUUGUUAAGGAACUCGGCAAGAACCCUUCAUAAGUUUGGCGAAAAGAAGGACCACUCUGACUUAACUUAGCUAUAAGUUAAUAUCUAAGGUGGUGGCACAAAAUCGGAGGCCCCGACUGUUUACUUAAAACAUAAGAAUCUGCAAUGAUUAAUAUCAUAGUAUAGUUUCUGAAAUUUGCCCAAUGCCAUUAAUAUAAGUGCGGUAAUGAGAGUUACUAAUCGAAUGUCUGGUUAAUAGCGGUCUUAACUAUGAGGAUCCAAAGGUAGCAAAAUCAGUUGGCCAUUAAAUGUGGUCUUGUAUCAAUAAUGUAACGAUGGCCUCACUGUCUCUACAAGUCGCUCAGUGAAAUUGAAUUGUGAGUGCAGAUGCUCACUGCCUCCGGGGGGACGGGAAGACCCUAUGCAGCUUUACUGUAGUUAGUUAUCACGUUAAUCUACAACAGGGCUGAUCAAUAGUGAUUAGGGAUGUCGAUAGACGAAAGAUGGAAUACCUCCUGAUUAGAACUGGGUUAAUGUUUACCUUACUCCCGUAAGGGGCGGAGGGAGCAUUGACUAAUUGACAGUUUGACUGGGGCGGUCGUCUUUAAUAGAGUAGCAAAGUACAUCCGAUUAUUUUUAAAUUCAUAACAAAAAUUAACACUGCUCAAUACUUUCAUGCUGACGGCUUUACUCUUUCUACUUUUUCCUUUUUAGUAAUAUGGAAGUUAAGCCACGUCGCCGAAAAAAAAAGAGUUAGAAAGGUAAGACCCUUAAUAUGAAGUACUUUAUUUAAACUCUAUUUAUAAAAAAAAUAAUUAUAGAAGCUUAAGGAUUUGAGCUGUGCACUGCUAAUAGCGCUCUCACAAAAGAGAUGGGGUAAGGAUUAAAUUCCAUAUCGAUUAGCUUGUGAAAAAAAGUAAUUAAAUAUAAUUAUAAUAAAAAUAAAACUAAAUUUAAUAAAUAAAACUUAUUCCCUUUUUUUUAUGGCCAAAGGAAAAAAAAUAAUAAGAUAAUAAAAUUAAUUUUACUGAUCUUUCAAAAAAAAAUUAAUUUUUUUUUGUUUUUCUUUUAAUUUUAAUUAAAAAAAGGUAGAGCUAGAAAUUGAAUGGGGAUCAAUCUGCCAGUGAAACGGCGGCGGAAAGAGCGUAAUGGCGGAAAGCAUGCCUAACUGAAAGACCUAUAAGUCGCACAGAUACGUAAGUAGGGCAUAGUGACCCCUCGCUAUAAUAUGGAAUAGACGGGGAUCAAUAGAUAAAAGUUACGCUAGGGAUAACAGGCUGAUAGUCCGCGAGAGUACACAUUGUCCGGACUGUUUGGCACCUCGAUGUCGACUCAACCUAUCCUCCGGGAGUAGGAGCUCGGAAGGGUUGGGCUGUUCGCCCAUUAAAAGGUUACGUGAGUUGGGUUUAAUACGACGUGAGUCAGUAUGGUCCCUAUCUUCCGGAGGGACAAAUAGUAAAAAGGGGAAGAUCUUCUAGUACGAAAGGAUCAAUAGACUGUGUUUCAAUCGUGUACCAAUUGUUGGAUAUUUAUUUGAUACUGGCAUAGUUGGGUAGCCACAAACAUGAUGGUUAAGAGCUGAAUGUAUAUGAAGCAGGAAACCACCCCCCAGAUACUAUCAAUCAUUAUUUAAAUUUAAAUUCUGAUAAGAUAAGAAAUAGAAUAUUUCUAAAUAGGGUGCGAGUUUAUUUGCCUUGA